GACGAACGCUGGCGGCGUGCUUAACACAUGCAAGUCGAGCGAGAAACUUCGGUUUCUAGCGGCGGACGGGUGAGUAACACGUGGCAACCUGCCUCACAAUCGGGGAUAGCCUUCGGAAAGGAAGAUUAAUACCGCAUAACACAAAGGAAACGCAUGUUUCUUUUGCAAAAGAAUUUCGUUGUGAGAUGGGCCCGCGGCGCAUUCGCUUGUUGGUGAGGUAACGGCCCAACAAGGCGACGAUGCGUAGCCGACCUGAGAGGGUGAUCGGCCACAUUGGAACUGAGACACGGUCCAGACUCCUACGGGAGGCAGCAGUGGGGAAUAUUGCACAAUGGAGGAAACUCUGAUGCAGCAACGCCGCGUGAGUGAUGAAGGUCUUCGGAUUGUAAAGCUCUGUCUUCUGGGACGAUAAUGACGGUACCAGAGGAGGAAGCCACGGCUAACUACGUGCCAGCAGCCGCAGUAA
rnacentral:rRNA from 1 species